rnacentral:tRNA from 2 species
GGGGUUAUGGUCUAGACUGGUAUGAUUCCUGGUUCGGGACCAGGCGAUCCCGAGUUCAAAUCUCGGUAACCCCACCA